rnacentral:rRNA from 1 species
AACGGCCGUACCAUGCUGAAUAUACCGGUUCUCGUUAGUUCACCGAAGUCAAGCAUCAUUGGGCGCGGUCAGUACUUGGGUGGGUGACCACCUGGGAACACUGCGUGCCGUU